UGUCCCAGCUGCCACCUAGACUCGGAGCUCCAUCCAAAUCCCCAGUGAAGACAUCCCAGCCAUGGUCAUGCAGAAAAUCUUUGCCUGGGAGAUCCUGGAUUGCAGGGGCAAUCCCACAGUGGAGGUGACCUGCACAUGGGCAAGGGCCGAUUCUGGGCAGCUGUGUCCAGUAGGGCUUCCACUGGUAUCUACGGAGCUGUGGAACUAAGAGAUGGAGAUAAAGCUCGCUACUUGGGGAAAGAAGUUCUGAAAGCUGUAGAACACAUCAACAAGACUCUAGGCGCCGCCCUGCUGGAAAAGAAAUUAAGCCUUGUGGAUCAAGAAAAAGUUGACAAAUUUAUGAUUGAGGAGGAUGGGACCAAGAAUAUGUCCAAGUUUGGGGUCAAUGGCAUCCUGGGCAUGACCUUGACCAUGUAUAAAGCUGGAGCAACUGAGAAAGGGGUGCCACUAUACUGACACAUUGCAGAUCUUGCUGGGAACCCU